GGGAGCGCAUGGGUGCCGGUGUGCCCCGCGGUCUUCAAAACCGAUUGUGACCUCGUUCGGGGUCAGGUGAGUUCGACUCUUACACGCUCCCGCCA
rnacentral:tRNA from 1 species